UACGGGGGGGGGCAAGCGUUGUUCGGAAUUACUGGGCGUAAAGGGAGCGUAGGCGGGAGCCUAAGUUGGGUGUUUAAUUCCGGGGCCCAACCCCGGGCGUGCACUCAAAACUGGGUUUCUUGAAUAGGGGAGAGGUCGGUGGAAUUGGAGGUGUAGCGGUGGAAUGCGUAGAGAUCCUACCAAGAACCAUCCCGCUUGGCGGA
rnacentral:rRNA from 1 species